rnacentral:rRNA from 1 species
AUUGAACGCUGGCGGCAGGCCUAACACAUGCAAGUCGAGCGGAUGAAGGGAGCUUGCUCCUGGAUUCAGCGGCGGACGGGUGAGUAAUGCCUAGGAAUCUGCCUGGUAGUGGGGGACAACGUUUCGAAAGGAACGCUAAUACCGCAUACGUCCUACGGGAGAAAGCAGGGGACCUUCGGGCCUUGCGCUAUCAGAUGAGCCUAGGUCGGAUUAGCUAGUUGGUGAGGUAAUGGCUCACCAAGGCGACGAUCCGUAACUGGCCUGAGAGGAUGAUCAGUCACACUGGAACUGAGACACGGUCCAGACUCCUACGGGAGGCAGCAGUGGGGAAUAUUGGACAAUGGGCGAAAGCCUGAUCCAGCCAUGCCGCGUGUGUGAAGAAGGUCUUCGGAUUGUAAAGCACUUUAAGUUGGGAGGAAGGGUUGUAGAUUAAUACUCUGCAAUUUUGACGUUACCGACAGAAUAAGCACCGGCUAACUCUGUGCCAGCCGCCGCAGUAAAAC